rnacentral:rRNA from 1 species
UUGGGCGUAAGCGCGCGCAGGCGGUUCUUUAAGUCUGAUGUGAAAGCCCCCGGCUCAACCGGGGAGGGUCAUUGGAAACUGGGGAACUUGAGUGCAGAAGAGAAGAGCGGAAUUCCACGUGUAGCGGUGAAAUGCGUAGAGAUGUGGAGGAACACCAGUGGCGAAGGCGGCUCUUUGGUCUGUAACUGACGCUGAGGCGCGAAAGCGUGGGGAGCAAACAGGAUUAGAUACCCUGGUAGUCCACGCCGUAAACGAUGAGUGCUAAGUGUUGGAGGGUUUCCGCCCUUCAGUGCUGCAGCUAACGCAUUAAGCACUCCGCCUGGGGAGUACGGUCGCAAGACUGAAACUCAAAGGAAUUGACGGGGGCCCGCACAAGCGGUGGAGCAUGUGGUUUAACUCGAAGCAACGCGAAGAACCUUACCAGGUCUUGACAUCCUCUGACAAUCCUAGAGAUAGGACUUCCCCUUCGGGGGCAGAGUGACAGGUGGUGCAUGGUUGUCGUCAGCUCGUGUCGUGAGAUGUUGGGUUAAGUCCCGCAACGAGCGCAACCCUUGUCCUUAGUUGCCAGCAUUCAGUUGGGCACUCUAGGGAGACUGCCGGUGACAAACCGGAGGAAGGUGGGGAUGACGU